UACGUAGGGGGCAAGCGUUGUCCGGAAUCAUUGGGCGUAAAGCGCGUGUAGGCGGCCAGAUAAGUCCGCUGUGAAAUCUCGAGGCUCAACUUCGAGCUGUCGGUGGAAACUGUCUGGCUAGAGUCCGGAAGAGGAGAAUGGAAUUCCUGGUGUAGCGGUGAAAUGCGCAGAUAUCGGGAAGAACACCCGUGGCGAAGGCGGUUCUCUGGGACGGUACUGACGCUGAGACGCGAAAGCGUGGGGAGCGAACAGG
rnacentral:rRNA from 1 species